rnacentral:rRNA from 1 species
UAGGGAAUCUUCCGCAAUGGGCGAAAGCCUGACGGAGCAACGCCGCGUGAGUGAUGAAGGUCUUCGGAUCGUAAAACUCUGUUAUUAGGGAAGAACAAAUGUGUAAGUAACUAUGCACGUCUUGACGGUACCUAAUCAGAAAGCCACGGCUAACUACGUGCCAGCAGCCGCGGUAAUACGAAGGGGGCUAGCGUUGUUCGGAUUUACUGGGCGUAAAGCGCACGUAGGCGGACUUUUAAGUCAGGGGUGAAAUCCCGGGGCUCAACCCCGGAACUGCCUUUGAUACUGGAAGUCUUGAGUAUGGUAGAGGUGAGUGGAAUUCCGAGUGUAGAGGUGAAAUUCGUAGAUAUUCGGAGGAACACCAGUGGCGAAGGCGGCUCACUGGACCAUUACUGACGCUGAGGUGCGAAAGCGUGGGGAGCAAACAGG